GAUCUGUGGUCAGAGCCCAGUGGAACUUGGACUUCCCCUAAAACUGUGUGCGAAGUUGCUGUGGAGUCUGCCCUACCCCUAAGUUUAUAUAAGGUCCAUGGCAUUCUGGCUGAAGCUUAGAGCAAAAGUCAAGAAAGUCCAUCAGCACAUGUGGAGUUUCUGUUGCUAUGUUUAUUAGAGAGAGGGGGAGAGAGAAAAACAGAAGGAGAAGAAUUACAAUGUGUUACUCAAAGCUCUUCACCUCAUUGUACCUAAAAGCAGUGAUGCUCCAGUGAAAUGAAGGUUAUAUAAAACACAGGGAUAUCACAGGGAUAUGUACUGUUUAGUUCUUAUCUUCUGCAGGAAAUGGAUGGCAGAACAACACAGAUUUUCCUAGAUGGUAGACGUUUCCACUGCUGAGCAAGUCUGUGGGGCAGCCCUGAGCUCCCGAGGAUCCCCCAUGGCAAACCACUCUCCUGAAGUGCAUGCGCAGAGCCAGUGAAACCUGCAGUUAUACCUCCUCAUGUGAGAAAACAACUGUAUCUCAGCAGAGAGCCUGCAGUGGGUGGAUUCAUCAUACAAACAACAAGAGUGAGCAACGGGAACAUCUGUGAGUGCUGAAUUCAAAUGCUGAGGGUCUGGAAAACUUGGUGAGCAAGACUGUAUUUCAUGUGAUGUGAAAAUGUACCAAAGAGUAAUGGAACUCCAUAGGAAGCACAAGAUUGGUAGUAUGAGGGCUACUUACCCCUUAUGGCACCUGAAUUUCCUGGAUAGCUCAACUCAUCA